CUGGAACGCGCCCCAGGCGCACCCAGAAACCCUUUGUGAACUUAUACCUUACUGUUGCCUCGGCGCAUGCCGGCCCCCCCGGGGGCCCCUCGGAGACGAGGAGCAGGCACGCCGGCGGCCAAGUUAACUCUUGUUUUUACACUGAAACUCUGAGGAAAAAACACAAAUGAAUCA
rnacentral:misc_RNA from 1 species